CCAGACCACACAGGAAAGGUGACCAUAGGAGCAGAAUAAGCACAGCCAAUGAGGAGACUUCUAAAAACCAGAUUACAAAGGUUGAAGUCUCUCAGGACAACCUCCCACACAUGCUUGGCCUCCUCGUCUGUGAGCUUGGAAAGAUCAAGCUUUUUGGCUGCAGUGGUGCCAGGCAUGACUGUGGACCUGAUGCCGUGCUGCUGAAUAUUCAUCUACGGAUCCACUCUGGUCCAACAGACAUAUACUCAAGCUGACAGGAAUUCGUUAUAUCCAUUUAAGGUGUCUCUGGAUCUGGAGUUACAAGUCUCUGAUCUGCAGUUUCUGGUCUCACUGACCUCUAAAAUGUUUGUGGUUCCCUUUGUAUUAUUUGUCUGUUCUCUCUGCUCUCCUGCUAUCCCCCACCCAGUCAAGGCAGAUGGUCACCUUCCUGGAGCCUGGAUAUGCUGGAGGGUUAUUUGUUCCUCCUUGCUAAAGGGGAGGUUUGGUUCAUUCCCAUUGUCACUGACUGCUUGGCCAUAGGGAUCCAACAAGAACUUUUGAUUGUUGGGUUCUCUGUUUAAAAUUCAUGAGGUCUUCACCUUGCUGUGUUAAGUGCAAUGAGAUGACAUAUGUUGUGAACUGGCGCAAUGAACUCAGCGUUGAGUUCCUUUAAUUUUAACCAUUUGCAGUGAAUCUAAAGACCAGUAUCAGCUACCUUUGGUAUGUCUGUACCUCAAUGAUCCAGUGGAUGAGCAGGUUCAGUAGGGCCAACAUAGCUUUUGCUGAAACACCCUGACUAUAGUUAAGCCUGGAGCCUGCAAUGCUCAGUCUGUAUGCAUGUGUAACAAUAUUUUACAAUGUUAGUGAUGCAGAAGGUCUUGAAAAUGGAGCUAUAUGCUGCAAAAAAAGGGUAUUAUUAGUUCUCAGUGCCUUAGUACUUUAAUAUGUUUAUCACUUUCCCUGGUAACCUUGAAACAACAAGAAUCGAGGUUGGUGUUUUAUUUAAUGGCAGUUAUGUGAUAGAUGAAAUAAAAGUGAAGUAGCCUACAGGCUGACAAACCACUAUAUGAACAUAAUUCUCUCCUCUACCCCUCCCUAACGCUAUAGGUGCAAUAGACCAUGUGCAUUUCCAGGCCCCAUCUGGACCCGUGGAGAGAGACUAUGUCAAUCAGAAAUCUUUCCAUAGCUUAAAUGUACUGGAAACAGCUGUUCAUACAGUAUCUAGCGGAACAGUAAGAAUUGGAUUUGGAUGAAUGUGCACAUCUGUGAUAAUAGAUCUGAUUAGUUUUUAUGUCAGCAUUUGUUUGGAUUGAAAGCCUGUUACCCAGGCAACUCACAGAAAGUCUAACUCAAAGAAGCAACCGUACUGUAUAGAGAUAUAUAUCAUGCAGCUGCAAAACCAGACUGUAAAUCUUUUACAAAGCAAGAACCAAAUGUUAACAUAUUAAUCUGUAAUAUGAGAUAAAUAUACAGAUAAUUCUGAAAUGGAUUAACAAACAGAGAGACGCCACUAGUAAGGGUUAGCAAGUGUAAAUUAAUGUUCUGGCAAGCAAAAGUGUGCCACAUUAUUAAAAGUCACUCUGUAUGCUGAGCAUAUUCCAGCUGACUUCAGGUGAAGGCAGGGGACACCAGUCUAUCACAGGGCCAUACAAUCACACUCACAUUCACACCUACGGGCAAUUCAGAUUCACCAGUUAACCUGAACAUAUUUUUGGACUGUGGUAGGAAGCCCGAAUACCCGGAGAAAACCCACACAUGAACAGGGAGAACAUACGAACUCUAUGCAGAAAGAUCCCAGGAAGGCCGGGACAUGAAGUGGGGAUCUUCUACCUGCAAGGUGAAAGUGCUGACUGCCAAGUCACUGUGCAGCCCAAUAAAGUACAUGCCAAGCAAUAACAACAAAUGAUCAGAUUUGUAGUAUUUACAUUUAAGUUGACUUGAAUGAUUGACAAUGUCAUUGAGCAACAUGCAAGAAAACAUUCCAUGUUAGUAGCUGCUGGCUGCCAUUCAGCAGCUACUUUUAAAUCUAAAACAAAGUAACUAAAACAUCAAACUUAUUUAAAGCCCUUAUUUCUUACCAGUUAUACCUUGUUCAUCAUUGUUAAUGCUAGAGUCCAUUAGGGUUGGGGUCUAAAGUGUGGGUGGAACAAAUUUAUUGACAGAAAUAAUUUAAUUGUUGACUAGCAGCCUGCCGUAGAAUAGCUAUCUGACUGAUAACAAGAUACUAAAUCAAUACAGGCAUUAUCCCUUUGAGAGGAGUAUUAUCCAGUUCCUUUGGCAAAUAAAUGAAUUGUAGCCACCUGACUUUAUUAACUGUUCAUAAAGUCAGCCUGAUGUGUGGUCAGUUACAGUUGGCGAAUGAAUGUUUUCUUGUCACUGUGUAAACAGCAAUUACAUAAUAUUUGACAGGAGCCACACUUAACUGUGCAUGAGGACAUGUGUCAAAGGUGUGCACAUGUACUGAACUAAAGCCUUGUUUGAUAUGUGAAGAGUGAAUGUUUUGUUGUCACAAAGUCUUGUUCUUUUCUAUCUUUGUCAGUAACAAAUAAGAAAUUGAAAUAGGUUUCAAUCCUGAAAAGCUUCAGGCAUAGCAAGACCUAUCUUCACAGCUUUGUGUCAGCACUGGAGAUGCUACAUAUGAUUAUCAUUUUUCUGUAGGGAAAACAACACACUAGAUUGUUUGUAUUUCUUUAAACCAUACUCAUCUUGGUUCCUGAUAAGUCUGACAUGCAGUGUUGAUGCCCUGCUACAGUAUAGUCAUGAGGGAAUUGUUUUGGUGGAACACUAGAAUGCAAGAAGUGAAGGACUGUCAUGGAUUACUGAGCAUGCCUGUCUUAUUGCAUGAUCUAAAUCUUUGUCAAAACUUGCUGUUUUCAGUGUGUAGGUUGCUGCAUGGAGGUUGCUGUUGUUGGUAUCUGUUGCUAAGGGGAUUUUGGAAAUGGUAACAUGGAGAUAGGGGAAGAGGAAGAGAAAGCUAUGUAAGAAAAAAACUCUUGUAAUAUUGUCCUUUUUGGUGAUGAUUCCUUUUUCAUAAAGCCUCACCAGUAAACUGCUCUGGUUUUAA